rnacentral:miRNA from 1 species
UAAAGUGCUGUGUCACGGACA